rnacentral:rRNA from 1 species
AUUGAACGCUAGCGGCAUGCCUUACACAUGCAAGUCGAACGGCAGCACGGGGGCAAUCCUGGUGGCGAGUGGCGAACGGGUGAGUAAAGCAUCGGAACGUACCUGGUAGUGGGGGAUAGCCCGGCGAAAGCCGGAUUAAUACCGCAUACGACCUGAGGGUGAAAGCGGGGGAUCGCAAGACCUCGCGCUAUUGGAGCGGCCGAUGUCAGAUUAGCCAGUUGGUGGGGUAAAGGCCUACCAAGGCGACGAUCUGUAGCUGGUCUGAGAGGACGACCAGCCACACUGGGACUGAGACACGGCCCAGACUCCUACGGGAGGCAGCAGUGGGGAAUUUUGGACAAUGGGCGCAAGCCUGAUCCAGCCAUGCCGCGUGCGGGAAGAAGGCCUUCGGGUUGUAAACCGCUUUUGUCAGGGAAGAAAUCUUCUGGGUUAAUACCUCGGGAGGAUGACGGUACCUGAAGAAUAAGCACCGGCUAACUACGUGCCAGCCGCCGCGGUAACAC